AACCUAGCACACCUGCGGUGUGUACCUGCGGAAGGAUCAUUACCGAGUUUACAAACUCCCAAACCCUUUGUGAACCUUACCUAUCGUUGCUUCGGCGGGAUCGCCCCGGGCCGGCCCUUCACGGGGCCUCCGGAACCAGGCGCCCGCCGGAGAACCCAAACUCUUUGUUUUUAUGGUUUUCUCCUCUGAGUGGAUUAUAAACAAAUAAAUCAAAACUUUUAACAACGGAUCUCAGAUCGG
rnacentral:misc_RNA from 1 species